UACGGAGGGUGCGAGCGUUAAUCGGAAUCACUGGGCGUAAAGCGCACGUAGGCGGCUUGGUAAGUCACAUGUGAAAGCCCUCGGCUCAACCGGGGAACUGCGUGUGAUACUGCCUUGCUUGAGUCCUGGAGAGGGCAAUGGAAUUCCAUGUGUAGCGGUAAAAUGCGUAGAUAUAUGGAGGAACACCAGUGGCGAAGGCGGCCACCUGGACAGGUACUGACGCUGAGGUGCGAAAGUGUGGGGAGCAAAC
rnacentral:rRNA from 1 species